rnacentral:rRNA from 2 species
AGGUUAAGUUAACAAGGGCGCAUGGUGAAUGCCUUGGCACUAGGAGCCGAUGAAGGACGGGACUAACACCGAUAUGCUUCGGGGAGCUGUACGUAAGCUAUGAUCCGGAGAUUUCCGAAUGGGGCAACCCAGCAGUUUUAAUCAACUGUUACCACUAGAUGAAUUCAUAGUCUAGUUGGAGGUAAACGCUGUGAACUGAAACAUCUCAUUAGCAGCAGGAAUAUAAAGAAAUUUCGAUUCCCUAAGUAGCGGCGAGCGAACGGGGAACAGCCCAAACCAAAGUGCUUGCACUUUGGGGUUGUAGGACUGAACAUUUGAGUUACCAAAGAACUUGAUAGUCGAAGGAUUUGGGAAAAUCCGCCAUAGAUGGUGAUAGCCCAGUAGAUUAAAUCAAAUUCUCUCAGUUCAGGAUCCUGAGUACGGCGGAACACGUGAAAUUCCGUCGGAAUCCGGGAGGACCAUCUCCCAAGGCUAAAUACUACCUAGUGACCGAUAGUGAACCAGUACCGUGAGGGAAAGGUGAAAAGCACCCCGGGAGGGGAGUGAAAUAGUUCCUGAAACCAUGUGCCUAUAAUAAGUCAGAGCGCGUUAAUGCGUGAUGGCGUGCCUUUUGUAGAAUGAACCGGCGAGUUAUGAUCCCGUGCAAGGUUAAGACUAAAAAGUCGGAGCCGUAGCGAAAGCGAGUCUGAAAUGGGCGUUUUGAGUACGAGGUUAUAGACCCGAAACCAGGUGACCUAUCCAUGUCCAGGUUGAAGGUGCGGUAAAACGCACUGGAGGACCGAACCCGUGUAAGUUGAAAAUUGCUGGGAUGAGGUGUGGAUAGCGGUGAAAUUCCAAACGAACUUGGAGAUAGCUGGUUCUCUCCGAAAUAGCUUUAGGGCUAGCCUCGGAAUUAGGAUCAUGGAGGUAGAGCACUAUUUGGACUAGGGGCCCGUCUUGGGUUACUGAAUUCAGAUAAACUCCGAAUGCCAUUGAUUCAUAUCCGGGAGUCAGACGAUGAGUGAUAAGAUCCACCGUCGAAAGGGGAACAGCCCAGACCAUCAGUUAAGGUCCCUAAAUGUAUGCUAAGUGGAAAAGGAUGUGGAGUUGCAUAGACAACUAGGAUGUUGGCUCAGAAGCAGCCACCAUUUAAAGAGUGCGUAAUAGCUCACUAGUCGAGUGAUCCUGCGCCGAAAAUGUACCGGGGCUAAGCAUACUACCGAAACCAUGGAUGCGACCAUUAGGUCGCGUGAUAGGAGAGCGUUCUAAGGGCGGUGAAGCAAGAUCGUGAGGACUUGUGGAGCGCUUAGAAGUGAGAAUGCCGGUAUGAGUAGCGAAAGAUAGGUGAGAAUCCUAUCCACCGAAUGACUAAGGUUUCCUGGGGAAGGCUCGUCCUCCCAGGGUUAGUCGGGACCUAAGUCGAGGCCGAGAGGCGUAGACGAUGGAUAACAGGUUGAGAUUCCUGUACUAGUUAAGUGCGUUUGAGCAAUGGAGGGACGCAGGAGGCUAAGAUGUGCAUUCUGUUGGAUUAGAAUGUCCAAGCAGUAAGUCUUGUGAAGAGUCAAAUGCUUUUCACUUUAAGGACAAGCUGUGAUGGGGAGCGAAAUUUAGUAGCGAAGCGUCUGAUGUCACACUGCCGAGAAAAGCUUCUAGUGAGUACUUAACUACCCGUACCGCAAACCGACACAGGUAGUCGAGGAGAGAAUCCUAAGGUGAGCGAGUGAACUCUCGUUAAGGAACUCGGCAAAAUGACCCCGUAACUUCGGGAGAAGGGGUGCUGAUCGCAAGAUCAGCCGCAGUGAAUAGGCCCAGGCGACUGUUUAUCAAAAACACAGGUCUCUGCAAAAUCGUAAGAUGACGUAUAGGGGCUGACGCCUGCCCGGUGCUGGAAGGUUAAAAGGAUGGGUUAGCUUCGGCGAAGCUCAGAAUUGAAGCCCCAGUAAACGGCGGCCGUAACUAUAACGGUCCUAAGGUAGCGAAAUUCCUUGUCGGGUAAGUUCCGACCCGCACGAAAGGCGUAACGAUCUGGGCACUGUCUCAACGAGAGACUCGGUGAAAUUAUAUUGUCCGUGAAGAUGCGGACUACCCGCGACAGGACGGAAAGACCCCAUGGAGCUUUACUGUAGCUUGAUAUUGAGUGUUUGUACAGCUUGUACAGGAUAGGUAGGAGCCAUAGAAACCGGAACGCUAGUUUCGGUGGAGGCGUUGGUGGGAUACUACCCUCGCUGUAUGACCACUCUAACCCGCACCACUAAUCGUGGUGGGAGACAGUGUCAGGUGGGCAGUUUGACUGGGGCGGUCGCCUCCUAAAAAGUAACGGAGGCGCCCAAAGGUUCCCUCAGAAUGGUUGGAAAUCAUUCGCAGAGUGUAAAGGCACAAGGGAGCUUGACUGCGAGACAGACAGGUCGAGCAGGGACGAAAGUCGGGCUUAGUGAUCCGGUGGUACCGUAUGGAAGGGCCAUCGCUCAACGGAUAAAAGCUACCCUGGGGAUAACAGGCUUAUCUCCCCCAAGAGUCCACAUCGACGGGGAGGUUUGGCACCUCGAUGUCGGCUCAUCGCAUCCUGGGGCUGUAGUCGGUCCCAAGGGUUGGGCUGUUCGCCCAUUAAAGCGGUACGCGAGCUGGGUUCAGAACGUCGUGAGACAGUUCGGUCCCUAUCCGUCGCGGGCGUAGGAAAUUUGAGAGGACCUGUCCUUAGUACGAGAGGACCGGGAUGGACAUACCUCUGGUGUACCAGUUGUGCCGCCAGGCGCAUCGCUGGGUAGCUACGUAUGGAUGUGAUAAACGCUGAAAGCAUCUAAGUGUGAAACACACCUCGAGAUGAGAUUUCCCAUUCCUUUAUGGAAGUAAGACCCCUGAAAGAUGAUCAGGUAGAUAGGUUAGAAGUGGCAGUGCGGUGACGCAUGAAGCGGACUAAUACUAAUCGGUCGAGGACUUAACCAAG